ACUAAAAGUUAAUCCACAGUUACUUAAGUGGAAAUUUUCAGAAAAUCCAUUUCAGAGCAAAUGUUACGUGAGAGUCUAAAUAAGCCACUGCCCUCCGUUGGACAGAAUAUCAGAUGCCCUGAUCAUAUUUACCAGUGGGUCAGAUUCCUCUAAGAUGUAACAGCUGUGUAAAGGAACACAGACUACAACCUUUGCCAGAAAGACUGUCGCCAGUCAUCUGACGAUCAGAUCUGGAGGUGUGAGACAGAAGACAAGUGUGAGGACAACCGGGAACAUGAGAACUUCUCAAGUAAGAAGAUACCGGUCCUUGUCCCCUAACACACACAGAAGGUCACUAAUGGCAUUCUGGUACAAACAGAGCAAAGGGAUCAAUGGUUCAUGGACCCUGCUGUUUCCCAGGUGCUAUUCCAGUGGCCAGAGGAACUUCCCAUCACUUCAAACUUUUGUUUUACUUGUUGUUGUUAUUUUUGGUCUUCUAUCAUUGACUCAUAGCUCUCUCACACAUUUUAAUGUAUUCGCUGCAUCAGGCCAAGGAAAACAUUUGCCUGGUGUGUGAAAAAGCCUCUGAUUACAGAAUGAACUUUGCCUCUCCAUAAUUUGAAGAAGUUAAGGAGGGUCCCUACCCUAAAGUUAUGUCCUACUUUGAUGCUCAAAAUCUUAGUAAAAUCACCGUGCAAAGGAAAGAGCACUGACUUUGGCAUCACACAGAUGAAACUUGGCUCUGCUAUUCUCUUGUAUUAUUGUGGGCAUGGCAUCUCCGACAUGAGGAUAAUAAUCAUUCUUCAUAAGGCUGUCUCAAUGAGUGACGAUAACACAUAUAAAGUCCUGGGCACAGUGCCUGACACACAGGACUCACUGAAACCCAAGGAUCUGGAUUAGAAAACACAUACAGCAUUCUUAAAAGUUAAAAGAAGACGAGUAGCUAUUUGUUUACAGACUAACUCAUCCAUCUAGAGAUUGAUCUCUGCCAAAUUCUCUGUAAUUCUGUUACCGUGUUAUUUAUGAAGAGCUGUGGCAUCGUGUUUCAGAAAUUACCAACCAGUCAGCACUGAUGGGUAUGUAUUUUUCUUGCUCACUCAGUGGCAAGAAACAUAUAUAAUAAAUUCUUAGGAACUUUAUCUCUUUCAGUUAGAGUCAAAAUAACUGCUGAUUCAAUGAUUUGCCACAAAAUCUAUUCCUGGGUAAAAGGGAGAACCACCUUCUGCAGAAAAGAAGUAUUUCAAUACUUCAGCAUUUCCAACAAGAAAGAGAGGUACCAAUGAGAACAAAAUAAGAAACUAUGUUCUAUGACUGAGAAAUUGUUUCUAAAUAUUUUUCUACUAUUUUUACUUUGUUCCCAAUGGAAAGAUAGCAACAGAUUAAAUGCUCACAUGCCCAUUUGAUUUUUUAAAAAAUUAAAUAAACUUAUUUUACUUUUAUGGUUGCAGAUAGGAAUUAUUAACCAUCUGUCUUUGUAUUAUUUAAAUGUUAAACAAAUAAACAUUAUUUUACAACCAGAAAACAGUUAUUCACAGACUUAUACAUUUAUUCCCCAAUAAUUUUUCUUUGCUGUUUAAAAAGAGCCUAAAGCUAGCAUCAUUUAAAUUAUUUUUAAAAUUCAUUACCUACAAUACUAAGAAAAACAGAUGAUAAUACAGUAUGUUAUUGUAAAUGAAAAAGGCCUUAAAGAGUUUUUUUUAAUUUACUAGAAGCUUCAAUUAUCUCCUUUUAGGAAAUAGGAAAAAAAAAUGACAACCUCAAUCAACUCACACAGUUAAAAGAAAUGAGACAGUUGACAGUUCUGCUAACGCUCUUACCUAGGCAAGGAUCUUCUCACAUGAGAACCGCAUAUGGAUAAAUCAAGUAAUUUUUUACUUCUCUACUUCUUCAAACACAGAAAUGAGUACACCUCUGGAAUCAAACACUAUAUCAUAGAAACUAAAUGGAAAGACAGUUUUUUGCCAUGUAGGGCAGAGAAUAGAGGAAAACUUAGAGUAAACAGGUGGAAAGACAAGUCUUAAGAUAUCCAAAGAGUAUGUUUUGACCCAAAUUUAUUGAAAGUAGAGAAAUACCCUUAAGAAGUCAAAAUAACCAGCCAAAAGAAAAUCUUUAUUGUAAACACUCUGAUGUGCACUCCAACCCAGUUACAGAUAUUAUCAUCUUGGCUAUUUAUAGCCAAAGGGCAAUGUGAUAGAUUGUGUCUAAGAUGGCUGCCAAUGACCUGCACCUUUUGAUAUUUAUGUCCUUGUACAACCUCCUCCUUUGAAUAUUGUCUGGACCUGGGAACUCACUUAAAAAUGACAGAUAUCACAAAAAUACUCUGGCUCCUGUCUUGCUUUCCUUUCUUGCCCUCUUGCUUGCUUUAAUGGAAGUCAUGUGCCAGGCUAUAAACUCCCCUAUGGGGAGGCCUACAUGGCAAGAAAUUGAGGAAGGCUGAUGGCCAGUGAGUAACUAAGGUCUUCAGUCUAACAACCACAAGGAACUGA